GGCUCCGUACGUGGUGGUUUAGAGGUAUGAUUCCUUCUUAGGGUGGAGGAGGUCCCGGGUUCAAAUCCCGGCUAGGCCU
rnacentral:tRNA from 1 species